rfam:Leuconostoc mesenteroides subsp. mesenteroides ATCC 8293, complete genome.
AUAUUUUAUCUGGGGUACCGUAAGGUUGAGAUAAUACCCAUUGAACCUGUCAGGUUAAUACCUGCGAAGGAAGAAUAAGUUAGAUUAAGA